rnacentral:rRNA from 1 species
UACGUAGGGUGCGAGCGUUAAUCGGAAUUACUGGGCGUAAAGCGUGCGCAGGCGGUGAUGUAAGACAGGUGUGAAAUCCCCGGGCUUAACCUGGGAACUGCAUUUGUGACUGCAUCGCUGGAGUGGCGGCAGAGGGGGAUGGAAUUCCGCGUGUAGCAGUGAAAUGCGUAGAUAUGCGGAGGAACACCGAUGGCGAAGGCAAUCCCCUGGGCCUGCACUGACGCUCA